rnacentral:Y_RNA from 1 species
GGCUGGUGCAAAGGUAGUGAGUUAUCUUGGUUGAUUGUUCAGUCAAUUACAGAUCGAACUCCUUGUUCUAUUCUUUUCUCCCUUUCUCACUACUGCACUUGAUCAGCCUUUA